CUUCUUCUUCUUCUUGUUCUUCUUUAUAACAAUACCCUCUUUCUUGUUCAACAAAGUUCAUGAUGACCCACCUCGAAUUCUUGAGCCUCUUAUCACAGUAGAUCUUGGAGAAUAAAAAUCCAACCACAAGAAAAAAAAAAUGAUGACGGAGAAAAGAAAGUUAAAGGAAAAGUUGGGAGAUCAGGACUUCAAUUAUAGCGAAAUGAGCUCAAACAAGGGCAUACCUGUUAAAGAUUUGUAUUCUUGAUUGGAAGAUUUUGCUUCAAGAUCUGUGAGGCCACAAGAGAAGCAAAAGGGAGCUGUCUCAGUACAACCAAACGGACGGUGCCUUCUUCUUUGACCAAAAAUAGCACUCCAAAACCCUAAACAAGACAAGCCAUGGAUAAUUCAUUACACACAUGAAAGGGAGCAAGUUGCCCUUGUUGUUGACCUAGCUACCACACAGAGAGAAAGAGUGAGGGUUUUUGCUUA
rnacentral:misc_RNA from 1 species